AUACGGAGGGUGCAAGCGUUGUUCGGAAUCACUGGGCGUAAAGGGCGCGCAGGCGGUUUUACAAGUCAGAUGUGAAAGCCCACGGCUCAACCGUGGAAGUGCAUUUGAAACUGCCAGACUUGAGUACCAGAGGGGAAGGUGGAAUUCCCGGUGUAGAGGUGAAAUUCGUAGAUAUCGGGAGGAAUACCGGUGGCGAAGGCGACUUUCUGGCUGGAUACUGACGCUGAGGCGCGAAAGCGUGGGGAGCAAACAGGAUUAGAUACCCUAGUAGUCC
rnacentral:rRNA from 1 species